rnacentral:sRNA from 1 species
UCGUAACAAGGUUUCCGUAGGUGAACCUGCGGAAGGAUCAUUACCGAAGAACUCACACUUCUUCUCGCGCAACCCACACCCGUGAACCACUGUUGUCUUUGGACGUUAAAUACAUACUCUUGUGCUGUCACCGCAUGUCGUUGUUUUCGAACAAAUAAAUAAAACUUUCAGCAACGGAUCUCUUGGCUCUCGCAUCGAUGAAGAACGCAGCGAAAUGCGAUAAGUAAUGUGAAUUGCAGAACCUCAGUGAAACAUCGAAUCUUUGAACGCACCUUGCGCUCUCUGGCACCCCGGAGAGCAUGCCUGUUUGAGCGCCUUACCAGCGUUGCGCGUUCGCUUCGGCGAACGCUGCAGAGUUGGGCGUUGCCUGCCUUUUGGUCGGCUCGUCCUGAAUGCAUAAGCGGCUUGAAGCGCGACCCAACGUGAUAAGAUCGUCGUUGGCGAGCGAGCACGGUCGCUUCAAACUGUCCCUGGACACAUCUAUAUGCUAGGCAUCAAAUCAGGUAGGAGUACCCGCUGAACUUAAGCAUAUCAAA